rnacentral:rRNA from 1 species
CCUACGGGCGGCAGCAGUGGGGAAUAUUGCACAAUGGGGGAAACCCUGAUGCAGCGACGCCGCGUGAGUGAAGAAGUAAUUCGUUAUGUAAAGCUCUAUCAGCAGGGAAGAAAAUGACGGUACCUGAGUAAGAAGCCCCGGCUAACUACGUGCCAGCAGCCGCGGUAAUACGUAGGGGGCAAGCGUUAUCCGGAUUUACUGGGUGGAAAGGGAGCGUAGACGGCAGUGCAAGUCUGGAGUGAAAGGCGGGGACUCAACCCCCGGACUGCUCUGGAAACUGUACGGCUGGAGUGCAGGAGAGGUAAGUGGAAUUCCUAGUGUAGCGGUGAAAUGCGUAGAUAUUAGGAGGAACACCAGUGGCGAAGGCGGCUUACUGGACUGUAACUGACGUUGAGGCUCGAAAGCGUGGGGAUCGAACAGGAUUAGAUACCCGUGUAGUC